rnacentral:lncRNA from 1 species
AAACUCUGAGCUGAUCUGGAGGGUCUGGGGGCCCUGGUAGGGAGCAGGACUGGGGGGCUGUGUGGGAGUGACACAUAAGUGUGAAAGUGGGCAUGAGGGCAGCAGAAGGAGUAAAGCAUGAGGGAGGAGGUCUCCUCUGGCACCUGAGCUGAAGGGCCCUCAGGGCAGCCCCAAGGCCGCAGCCUCCCGGUUGCCCUGCAGCCUGGCUGCUGAGUCCCAGCUGCUUCAGCUGGCUAGAGGUCCUUACUUAGUUGUCUCAAGCACCUGAAGCCUACCUUGCCCACCUGCGAGUCACUCGCCCCACAAGCAGGGCACCCAUCUGAGUCCUGUGCCCAGGGCAAACCCCACAACUGCCUGGUAGUGGAGCCACGACAGGGCAGUCAGUGCUCAGGAGGUGCCACACAGCCCCCAAGCACAGAUGCGGCCACACAAAGCCGCUAUUAUAGUUAACAGGUUGAGCCAGAUUCUCUGUGUGCCACCCACCGCACUGCACAGGGCCUCUAGGACCCCAUCCCUGCCUGGGUUCCUGGGGCCCCUCAGGCCGCCACCCACUCAACCAGAGGGCCAGAUCUGAGGGGCAGGGCUCGCUGGCCGCAGGAAUUUGGUGAUUGCCGUCGGUUCUGAAGCCAAAGAAGGAAGCAGACCUCUCCGCGCAGGCAGAUGAGAAAACCAAGGCACUGAAAGCUGGAAAGGGGCAGACCAGACGCAAACACUGCUUUCUUGACUCCACUCACUACAAGCUGCUUCCUUAAGCCUAAACUUGGCUCUUGCCUCACAGGACUAUCUUGCAGGAACCUAGCAACCCACCUUGCCCCAUCCUGAGGCAGAGGAGGCAGAGAUCACAGACAGCAUUCUCUCCAUUACCUACAGACGGAGAAUUAAAGCGCAGAGAAGCUGCGAGGGACAAUUGUGGUGAUCAUGACAAGACAGCCCUCGGGAUCUGAAUCCACAUCCACCUUGAUGGGUUGAGAGGACUAGAAACCAGAGAACACCCCCAUCUCUAAUGCCGCAAGAGGCCCCUGAUGCAGGAUCUUGCAGGAAUAAGAAGGCUCCAUGGAACGGGACGAGGCAGGAGCAGAGAGGAGCCAUGAUACGUUAACUCUCCCAGUCACCCCACUGAUCAAAACCUUAAGACUUGAGGAUUCUGGUUCCUUGUGCUGGGGGUCUCCAUCUAUCCCCACUCAAGCACAAGAACCACCUCAAGAUGGGACAGGGACUUGGGUCCCUCCAUCGGCUUUGGUCUCAGAUAAGGAAGAAACAUUAUGACUGACAGGGCAGAAUGGGUGGCUGCCCUGAGCAAGGGGGCGGGAGCCCAGGAAAGGAAACCCUUGAACCUUUGCUUGGAAACAGGCUCCUUGUUCCUGCUCCCCCUCCCCAGGGCUGCGUCAUCCUGGAAGCAACCACUUGAAAUGGGUCCUAGGGAGCCUGGGAGAGGGGCUGGCCUAGUUCCAGCCUCCAGCGCCUGGCGCCUCAGACAGGCCCAUGUCCCCAGUCCUCCUCCAGCCUAGCCCCAGCUAGGGUCAGGAGGUGACAGGGAGAGUUUUCCUCUAGGCCCUUCUAAGUCAGGAUCCACUCCCACCCCAACACACACCCAGCAUGGCACCCCUCCAAUUGCUCCAUCCCUGGGGAAGGCGGGGGGCAUGGGCAAGUCAGCACUCUCUCCUUUCCCAAGAGGCCAUGGGGCCUGGGGAGGGGGCAGAGCCUACUCCCUGGGGUUACUUGAGGGCAGAGCACUGGGGAGCCUCCCCGAGUGGGGCCCCCACUCUUCCCUUUGCCCCGGAUGAGUGUUCUCUGACACCAGGUUCCCCGCCCCACCCUCUAAACAAACAGAAGCAUCACCCUCCCCACCCUUCUCAAACCCAGAAGGAUCUGGUGCCCAGGUCACCUCAGCUGGAGAAAUCCAGAAUCCGCCUACGGAGAACACUGAGGAACCUUGGUGGAGGCAGGGGUCAGAGGGGACAGUGACAUUUGAGGGCCUUGGGGGAAAGUUAGCCUAUGCUGAGCUGAGGCUCUGGCUAGGGGCCCAGUAUUGGCUUUGCUAUUUCCUGGCUGUGAGAGCUUGAGUGAGUCUUCCAACCUCUUUGAACUUCAGGUUUUCAUCUGUAAAAUGGGGCUGAUCACAGAAUUUGCU